AACGCACAUUGCGCCCAGUGGUAUUCCGCUGGGCAUGCCUGUUCGAGCGUCAUUUCAACCCUCAAGCCCAGCUUGGUAUUGGGUGCCAUCGUACUGGUGCGCCUUAAAAUCAGUGGCGGUGCCAUCUGGCUUCAAGCGUAGUAAUACUUCUCGCUCUGGAGGUCCGGGUGGUCCACUUGCCAAAACCCCAUACUUUCUUAAGGUUGACCUCGGAUCAGGUAGGGAUACCCGCUGAACUUAA
rnacentral:misc_RNA from 1 species